AGAAACUUGAGAGGCAAUGAAAAAGUGAUAGAAAACUGUUGAGUUAGCAAGUGCAAAAGGCUGUAAUAAAAAGACAUGCAUGUUGCAGAAGUGCAGGAGAACGAACAUAUAUGAGACACGGAGACAGCUAGACAGACGUAGACUCAACGGCGAUACGUAUCUUAUUUUUGUCACUUCCUUGUCAAUUUAUAUAUACUACAGUAGUACUCUACUUCAUUUUUUUAACCCAACCUUUGCCAUCUUAUCUCUCUGGUACUGCACAACUGCAGCGCCUCUCCCUACGAAGAGGAGCCAUUUUCAAGGCCAUAGCCUUCUUUUCUUUUUUUUCAAAAUUUAUUCACUUUACAAUGCUGCAAUCCCAGAAAAAAAAAAAAGAGAACCAAUCCUUACUUAUUAAGAGCUUUGUGUGAAUGAACAUUGUAGACUUGUAGUUUCAAGUGGAGAUAAAAGAUGAGUGAUACAGGGUCAGCUUUGGUGGUGAAUGAGAAAAGGACUCAAAGAACAGGUGGGUGUGUGGGGAUUUUCUUUCAGCUCUUUGAUUGGAGGAAAAGGUUUGCUAAGAAGAAAUUUCCUCCAAACAAGCUUCUUUCUCUAGAUUCUGCUCAACAUGGUUCCAAGAAGUUUGGAGGUGAUGAUAAGUUGCCCAAACUUAGACUGAUGUCCAAUGAGAAAAAUGGGACUAGAAAUGUUGAUACUGGACAAAAAUAUGCGAUGCGAACUCCAACUUUGGUGGCUAGGCUCAUGGGCUUGGAUUCGUUGCCUGCUGUACAGCGGGGUAAGAUCAAGAAAAUUUCUUCUGAUAGAAUUGAGGUUGAUACGGGUGGUAAAUUUGCUAGUGAUUGCUGUCAGUUUGGUGGCCAGCACAAAAAAUUUAAGCCGGAAGGGUCUAAGCAUGAAUUGAAGCCUCAUAAGCUUCAGAAGACGGGGUUUUCUGAAAGACGAGCAGUGGCUAGGUUUGGAGCUGAGAGGUUGCAAUUUAAGAAUGUUUUGUCGAGAUCAAACAAGCAUCAUCACCCAAACUUUGUCCCAUCAGUGAAGAGUCCUACAAGACUUUCAAAGAGAAAUGCAGCUCGGCUGAUUGGGGCUGCCACUAGAAUAUUGGAACCUGGGUUGCAAGCUAGGAAUAGAGCAAAAAGCGGUCUACCUUAUUCGAGUACAACAGAUGGCCUCCUGGUUGAGGCAGGCACAGGUUUGUCAAAGGAUCAAGUAGAAAGUGCUACAUAUUAUGAAAAUGUUGCCAGGUUUUCCAGGGGUAAGUCUUCUUGUGAAAAUUGUGGCAAUAUUGUUGAUAUUCCAGAAUCUGGAACUUACAUGGAAGAACAACCAUCAUGCCAACCAUCUAUAUUAGUAAAUGGGGGUUGUCCUUUGUCCGGACGGGAAAUAUGUACGCAAAGAUUACCUUUGUCAUAUCUUGGAACAGAAAAAGGGAUUGAAAAUCCAAAAAAAAUCACUGCUUUUUCUGCUCAAUCACCUGGCAAUGUAAAACCUGGAGCUGAAGAUAAUUUCAAAAGGGAAACUCUUCACAGAGGUAGUCAAAUUCGGUGGCAGCCAAACCAACGAUACAGAAAAGAAGAGAUUCCAUCUUCAUCAAUCUGUUACAAACAAAAAUUUUGUGUUCGAAAUCUGGGGGUUACAGGAAGGGACAGAACUUCACCAAGGUGUACUGAUACAGUUCAUUUGAAGAAAGACAUAUCCCUCAAUCAGAGUACCAUUGACCACAAAUGCUCAAGAGUGCCUUCUAAAUUAGACAAAUGCAGAUAUGCCUCAAAGAGGAGAUCAACUGAUAGGCUCUAUGAUCCUCUAUCUUCUGCAAGGAAGAGAAGAUCUGUAGAUGCAGCCAGACAAGAUGAUAUUUUUAGUUCUUUUGGUUCCACUAUUGAAAGAAAAAGCAAAAUAAAUUGUAAUGUAUUGAGUCAAACAAUGGUGAGUGGGGAUAUUCAAUCUGCAAAACUUGCCUGCAUCAGUAGCAAUUUGGUCAGUCUGGAAAAAAUUAACAAAACCAGUGACACCAAUGCUGGUGUUCUUCCCUUCACAUUCAACUCAAAGAAGCUUAAAGACCGAACGCUGGUGAAAACAAAUGAUGGGGGAUUUCCGAGUGAAUGUACUAGCAGUUGUUCAAAAAAUAGUUCAGUAUUAGAUAAAAUCAACAUAAAUGAACAGGUGUUGUUCCAGAAUUCAAGUCCUUUCACAGUAGAUACUUUAGGUGUUCUGGAACAGAAGCUGAAGGAAAUAAGAAGCCUAAAUGACAAUGAGAUGGCACUAGGAGGCGCCCCAUUGAGGCAAACACCUGCUAUAAUUCUUCAAGAGCUAAUAUCAGCCUUGACUGCUGAGGGGUCUUUCAAUGUAAACAAUGUAAUAUCCAUGCCAACUGAAACAGGGAUUUCAUCUUGCUGUGAGCAUACGAUUAGUGCACAUCCACAUCUCCAGGUGAAAAUGCAAGGAUCAAGCUUUUGUGUGCAAGGGAACUUAGGUUUCCAUGUUGGAAAGGGUAGGGUUUUAGGUGGUUGUGAUAUGAGAAAUGGCAGAAAGGUUUGGGAUAGCCUCUGUAUAAGGAAACAGGGAGGUUUUGUCUCCGGUCUGCGCCUUUCUGUGGGGGCUCAACAUGGUGGUAAGAGGAGUGUGGACAGCGUUUUUCGGAAAUCAGGCAGGGCUAAAACCACAAAGGUUCAUGCUACAGAAGGAGAAGCGGACGAUGUUCCCCCAAAAAUUCAAAUGAACUCUUCUGGAUCAGUAUUGCCUUAUGUUGGAGUUGCUUGUUUGGGAGCUAUUUUGUUUGGGUAUCAUCUGGGGGUGGUGAAUGGAGCUCUUGAAUGUCUCUCUAGGGAUCUUGGAAUCGCUGAAAAUGCUGGAUUGCAAGGAUGGAUUGUCAGCUCUCUUCUUGCUGGUGCCACGGUGGGCUCAUUUACUGGAGGAUCAAUGGCUGACAAAUUUGGCCGAACCAAGACUUUUCAGUUGGAUGCAAUCCCACUUGCAGUUGGAACAUUUCUCAGUGCUACUGCCCAGAGCGUUCAGACAAUGAUCAUAGGUCGCAUACUUGCCGGAAUUGGCAUUGGCAUAUCAUCUGCAAUUGUGCCAUUGUAUAUAUCCGAGAUAUCACCGACUGAGAUACGUGGCACUCUAGGAUCAGUCAAUCAGAUAUGUAUUUGUGUUGGGAUUCUUGCAGCUUUGGUGGCUGGAUUGCCUUUAGCAGCAAAUCCCCUAUGGUGGAGGACAAUGUUCGGGAUUGCAGUAAUUCCCUCUGUUAUAUUGGCUCUGGGAAUGACAUUUUCUCCAGAAAGUCCUGGAUGGCUUUAUCAGCAAGGGAAAAUUUCUCAAGCUGAAAUAGCUGUAAAAAGACUAUAUGGAAAAGAAAGGGUUACCGAGGUUAUGAACAACUUGACUACUGGUAGUCAAGGUUCUUCAGAACCUGAAGCUGGUUGGUCUGAUCUAUUCAGUAACCGUUACUGGAAAGUUGUCAGUGUUGGUGCUGCACUUUUCUUGUUCCAACAAUUGGCUGGAAUAAAUGCUGUUGUAUAUUAUUCUACACCUGUGUUCCGAACUGCUGGAAUAGCAUCUGAUGUUGCAGCUAGCUCUUUGGUCGGGGCGUCAAAUGUAUUUGGUCAGAUUCCAGCUCAACUGUGGCAUCUUCUCUAAUGGAUAAGCAAGGAAGGAGAAGUCUCCUAAUAACAAGUUAUGCAGGAAUGGUAUUUUGACAUAUCUUUAUAUUUGUAGAACAAGAAUUUAGUACAAUCAUAAAUAAACCACCUCGAUGGAUAUCUCUGGACAAAAAUCGUAUGCUAAGGAUGGUUUUGAAGAUAAGCCCAAAUACUGGUCAGGGGUAUCCUGGAUGUUGUGUAUCGUUUUCCUAAAGUAAUGGGAGUAUAUAUUGAACGGAGAUCCUUAUUUAAUUUCAGGCUUAGCUUACUAUCUUUUAUAUUAUGAUGUUGCUGAUUUAUAAUCUUCUGGAAUGAAAUUGCUGAAAGUUUCUUUCACUGCGUAUGUUUUUAAUUAUUUUUCUUCUUAUGACUAGAUAUUUUGAUGUUGUUACUCUUCUAAGAAGAUAUGUGAAGGGAAAUGCUUUCUCUCUCACAUGUGACUAAAUUGUAAUCCCAUCUCCACAAAUAGUCUUGCUUACACAAUCUUAGAUCUUACAAAUAUGUAGAUGAUAUUGGAAUAAAUCUUCAAUUUAUCAUUUAUAAAUGCACGCUUUGUAAAAGACUAUUAAAGCAGUCUGGCGGGAGGUGUCACUGUAAAAUACAUGGUUUUAUAACUCAUUUGCAUGAUCAUUUUGAGAUCUAUUAUUCCGACCCUUCACUUGUCUAUUAUCUUUGUAAGAAACAUUUUUAGUACGUAUUCCACAGCCAGCUUAUAAGUUAAGCAGAAUGUUUGACAAACUUUAAUUUAUUAAUUAUUUUUUCCUUUUGAAGGCGGCUUCAAUGUUUCUGCUGUCUCUCUCCUUUUCUUGGAAGGUCCUUGCACCAUAUUCUGGCAAAGUUGCUGUUGUUGGGACUGUUUUAUAUGUAUUAUUCUUUUCCCUGGGCGCUGGUCCUGUCCCUGCCCUUCUACUUCCCGAGAU